AAGGAAAAAUUCUGCCAACAAAAUUCGACUAUAUGCCGUUUGCCGUUCCCGCAAACGUGAGGUCUGUACAGAGAAAUAUCGGACCUCAGUCUUUUUAUACAAACCUCACCCUACACGGUAUAGGGCGAGGUUUGUAUAAAAAUACGGGCUCGGUCUGUAGUCCGAUAUUUCUCUGUACAGAGCCGCGUUCGGUUCAUGAUAAGAAGUUAAUAAUGAUUAUAAUAUAGCAUUUGUAAAUUCUGAACGCUGAUUGGCUAAGGGCCGUGUUGAUAUAACUCAAUGUAACACAAAGUAUAUAGCCUAAAAUCCUGAAUCGAACAUGGCUGAAAAGAAAGGACUUUGAAAAAAAACUUGAAUAGAAAAAUAUCAUGCACUGCUUCAAUACUGAGGGGAAACAGACAGGGAUCGGGCUUUACUUGGACGGUUUUAUCUUUAUGAUCUUAGCAGCACACAUGGAACUGUUUGUUAUAAACACUUAACAAAAGUUAAAUAAAGGCAAAGUUUUAUUAUCAAAGACAUGAAAUGUAUAUUUAUGUAUGUUAUUGAGCUUGUAAGUUGGAAGUUCGUGAUUUCAUGAACGCAAUAUCUCAAAGAAUGGACAAACAGGAAAAAAUGGAGUUAAAAAUAAAGAUUGUGAAAUUGAAAAGGUAUGAAUGAUACAGUAAUUCUAAGCUCUAUACUGUAUGUUAAAAAAUCAAAAAGUUAUUAUAAAGUUGCAAACACAUGGUGCACAAGUUCAGGCUUUCAAAAAAACUGGCAAGUCCAAAGGUGAUAGCAUGCCAGACCUCUCAACUUUGCAGAGAAGUUAAGAGUGAGAUUGGGGAUGUGGAUGAGACCUUUAUAAAAGUCGGGGUCUGAAAUGGCAUUUCGUACAUGAUGAGAGUUGGCCGUUUUUUUAAUGAAAUACAUUGCUUCAUAACGUCCUUUAAGACAAGGAACUUUACUUACAAUAACUGUAUUUCUGCGACAUACACAGUGG